CCAAAUACAAAUAUACAUACUUAAAAAUCUAUCGAAUACUACACUAUUACAAAAGUUACAUAACUCUCAACCAAGUUUUGGACUAUAUCCGGUGUAUGGAGUUCUACAAGCUUUGCUCUUGAAACGCCGUCGACGAAAUACACGCCCAACAACGACAGAGGCGAAACCUAGCUCGGAAGACCGAAACCCAACGAAAUCCUUCAACCUCCCCUCACAUUGCUCACCGUUUCAAAGCCUUCAGUAAAUGGACACGAAAGGAACAACUUCAAAGGAACACGAAAACAUUAAAUGGAUGCAGAGAGAGCUUCGGAGAGAAACGAAAAUCUACAAUGGAGCAAAAAGAGAGAGAGGUUAAAGAGAGAGUGCUUCGAAGGAGAAAUACGGAUUCAAACCACUGAGGGUGUUUUUGGAACAACACAAAAUCUCCUUUUUCAAAUCAUUAUUUUAAUUAAAAAAAACAUUAAAUCACCCAAUAGAUUGCUGACACGUAGCGUUGUCAAAUUGUUGUUAAAAUUUGGUUGUUAUCGGUAUCCCUAUAGGUAAAUGGCUCUGGCAGACGAACUUAUAUAACUUAAAUUUAAUUUUAAUUUUUCAGAGGAAUGAAAUUACUAUAUUUAAAAAAAAUUAAAACUAAAUUCAAACAAAAUAAUAAAUGCAAAUUUAAAUUCACAUCACACUUGUCUUAACAUUUUACUUUCAGAUAAAGAAACUAAAGCUAUAGAAAAUUACUUUAAUAUGAAAAAUUGUUUUGUGUUUAAUUAAAAAAUUUAAUAUGAAAUGUUUGCAAAUUGUAUAAAAAAAAAAACCAUACGGAACUCAGUUUAAGGGGAAGUGGUCUAGGAUUUUGAAUUUUUUUAAACAGAAAAUGAAUCUUGUUCAAAUUAUUUACAUAAUAAAAACAUUAACAUUGAUAAUUAUCGUGAAUAUAAAAUUAAGUUCACUAUAAAAUAUUAAUAUUAAAUUAAUUAUUCCAUUAUUAUUAAUUGAAAAUUUGUAAUUGGCUAUAAUUAUUAAUUUAAAUUAUUGUCAAUAAAUGUAUAAACUUAGUUUUAAUUGUAAAUGUACUAUUUAAAAAGUAGUUAAAAUAUGGUCUUGUAAGUCACAAGUCAUGUAUUAUGGGUUGACUUGUGUAAAUAGCUAGUCUAAACAAAUGGUUUAAUGUUGUUUUUUAUUCAUGAUUUAGGUGAGGAGCUUAACUUGUGUUAUGAUACAUCAUGUAUGCAACAUCAUCAUUAGUUUUGAUUUGAAUAAUUUGUUCUCUACAUUUAAAUCUAUGAUUCAUUUAAUUUUUAGGUUUGAUGAUCAUUAUUCUAGCUAGAGUUAUAACAUUUGUAGGUAAGGUUGUAAACAUUAUGAAUUUCCAUGAUGGUGGCUCGUUGGAUAAGUCCUCCGAAGUAAAGUAUUGCUCCAAUGAAAACCAUGUUAUCAAGAGUUGUGGAAGAGCUUGCAUUAGGUGAAUUUAUAAGCGUUAUAAUUUCUUUCACAAAUAUUAUAAACUUAGUCUAGAACUAAAUAUUGGUAUUGAAAGGAAAUUAAUACUUAUAAGGAAUCAUUUGUACCACACGAACAUCAACUAAUAUCUUAGCAACAUUGUACCUAAUUAGACUAUCAUUUACAAGUUUAGGUUGACCAUAACACAACUUAUUAAAUAUUUUUUAUUGAAAAAAAUCCAAAAGGCAAUGCAAUACUCUUUCUUCAAAAUUAAUGAGGGUGUCACUACAAUAAAUUGUAUAAUAAAAUGAAUUUUGAAGUAUCUAAAAAAAUUAUAAAGGAGUUGAAUAUUUUUAUUGAAAAACUUUUUUCACAACCAAUAUAAUAGCACUCUCAUCGAGGAUCAAAAGAUUUUGCGUAAGGUGUUAAACACUCGACUUUUGGAAAUCAAAUUAAAUGACUUCUUUCCGAGUGUGUUUUAGUCAUUAAAAGGGUUUGUUGCAGCGUUUUAAUAAAGUUUGCUUUUUAAUAAAGAAUCAUUUAACGUAAAGAUCAUUUAUACAAAAAAUAAAGUGCAACUGUAGAUUUUGUAAGAGAAGCACUAGUGGAAAAACGACGUUUAACGUUAGCUCAUAGACGUCGGUCAACAGUCCACCGACGUAAUAUGAUGACCAGUGACAACUCCGUAAAUAACUGAAACUAGUAGACGUCGGCUACUUGUGUAACCGAUGUCUCAAACAAUAGAGACGUUGGGCACACUGCACAUUGACGUCUAAAAGGUCUGCAGGAAGGUGAAUAGUCGCCAUAUGGACGUCUAAUACGAGCACACCGACAUCUAUACUCGACUUUAGACGUCGCCUGGAAGCAAGAGUCGUCGAAAGUUCUGGCAGGAGAUCAAUAGUCGCCACAUAGACGUCGGUUAGCUGAUCGCAGACGUCUGUGUCCUGACAGGUUGGUGGAUGUAAUUAAUGUUCGUGCUAAUAGACGUCGGUGCUGCUUAAGAACAGACGUCUAUAGCCUAACAGUUAGGUGGAUUGUAAUAAUUAUUCCGCCAAGUAGACGACGGUUUGACAGGUGGUGACAUCUAUAACAUUAGAUAUGUCGAUCGACCAUGCAACAGACGCCUAAAAUUCGCGCCAUUAAUUAUAUUUAAAUUAAAAAGACAUCAAAUUAGUUACAACAUCGACGUCUAUAACAUUAUAGAUGUCAGUGGAUUAUUGUAACCGACAUCUAUAGCCAUUUAUACUGCAGAACGCGAACCCGCGAGCAAUUACCAUCCUUGAUCGUCUUCUUCCUCGCGAUUUCUGUUGCCACAUUGCUUUCUAGGUUGAUUUUCUCGAUUUUGCACCGUUAAAAUUCAGUUUUACUCCGAUUAAGUUACUCUUUGCUGAAAUAUCUUCCAUUUGAACAGAUUAAAAUUCGUCUUCGUUGCGUUUUGAUGCAGUUUGUGGUAUGUUCUUGGGCGACGUUUUUGACCGUUUUUGGCCUAUAUUUUUGGGCGAGCAGUCUUCCAUUUACCUCCAUUGUUGUUUUAAUCUGCUAAAAAGGUUAGCUUAUUUGUUAAAAACUUUUAUUGUAUGUAUGUUAUUGUCUUUUAUGUAUGCAUGUUAUUGGCUUUUGCGUUUGCAUGUUUUUGGCUUUUACGUAUGCAUGUGUUAUCGGCUUUUGAAUAUGCAUGUGAUAAAUUUUAGUUGUGUUAGAUUAUAAGUAUCAAAUCAAUGAGUGAAACUUAGUUCCCGUUUGAAAUUUAACAUAAACAAUUAAUCUUUUAAUCGUUUGUAUUAAAUUUUGAAUUGUCCGAUUGGACAGUUUGGGAAAAUUAUUUUUCAUAAAUUUGGUAUAACAUGUACGUUGGAGUUUAUGCAUAAGACUGAUGAAAUUUCGGUUCAUUAUUUGUGUUGUUCUCUGGAUGCAUAUUUGAUUGUGGUAAUUUGUGACUAUUCUCAUUUCGUGUAUUUUGGAGACCAAUGCAAAAUGCUGCCCAAAUUUUAUCAAAUUUAUGAUGUAGACUUCUUUGCACAUGUCUUAGCAAUUUAUGAAAAAUAUUUUUCCCGAAUGGGUAGGGCCUAACCUUGUGAGAGUUAAGAAUUUUAUACUGAUGACCUAUGUUACAAACAUAAUAUGGAUCGAAGCUAGAUGAAUGCACGUCGCAUCUCUGAAGAAUAUGAGAAGGGUGUUUCGGUGUUCUUGCAAUAUGUUAAAGAAAAUGCAAAGUCUGUGAACGGGACAUAUUUUUGUCCUUGUGUUCGUUGUCUUAAUCAAAUACGACAAGACUUAGGCAAUUUGCAUGAUCAUCUAUUCAUGUUCAGCAUAACGAGAACGUAUACCGUUUGGACUUGGCAUGGAGAAGUACUGGACCAGCCUAUGACGUCACGAGGAACAAAUNAUGUGGAAGAAUGGAUGAGUGAUCAUUUAGAGGACAUCAUACGUGAUGUUGGCGAAGAUAACUUUAGAAGAGCUAAUUUGUACGAUUCUCUUAUCAGUGAUUCAAAGCAACUAUUGUACCCAGGCUGCACAAACUUUACAUGUUUGUCUGCAACUUUGAAGUUGUUCAGUUUAAAAGCAAGGAACAGAUGGACCGAUAAAAGUUUCACGGAGUUGUUGGAGUUGCUGAAGGAGAUGCUUCCAGAAAAUAAUACUCUUCCUAUUAGAAAUUACGAGGCCAAAAAAGUUUUAUGUCCAAUGGGUCUUGAAUAUCAGAAGAUACAUGUUUGCCCCAAUGAUUGUGUUUUGUACAUCAAGGAGUUUCCUUCACUAAAGUACUGUCCAACAUGUGGUUUAAGCCGUUUUAAAAAGAAAUCUGAUAAAAACACUGGUGAAGAAGUUAAUGAUGGUGCACCUGGUAAGGUCAUGUGGUAUUUGCCUAUAAUACCUAGGUUCAAACGUAUGUUCUCUGUUAAGGAGGAUGCAAAGAACCUUAAAUGACACGUUUUAGGAAGAAAGUGCGAUAGUCUUCUUUGACACCCAACAGAUUCACCAUAGUGGAAGAAGAUGGAUGAAACAUUUCCAGAUUUGGUGCAGAUCCAAGAAACUUAAGACUUGCACUUGCAACUGAUGGUAUGAAUUCGUACGGGAAUUUAAGUAGCAAACACAGUUCAUGGCCAGAAAUGUUGAUGAUAUACAAUCUUUCUCCUUUGUUGUGCAUGAAGAGAAAAUAUGUCAUGUUGUCAAUGAUGAUAUCUGGUCCUAAACAACCUGGCAAUGACAUUGAUGUUUACUUGAAACCUUUAAUUGAUGAUUUGAAAUUGUUGUGGGAAGAAGGUGUCGAAGUUUUUGAUUCAGAUGUUGAAGAGAAUUUCCGUUUGCGUGCAAUGUUGUUUUACACUAUAAGUGAUUUCCCAACCUAUGGAAACUUGAGCGGUUAUAGUGUUAAAGGACAUUUUGCUUGUCCGGUUUGUGAAGAAAACAUUAGUUACCUUCAAUUGAAGCAUGGUCAGAAGACGGUUUAUACAAGACAUCGGAAAUUACUUCCUCACAAUCACCCUUAUCUUAGAUUGAAAAAAGCAUUCAAUGGAACUGCCGAGGAUGAGGAUGUGUGCAGACCCCGAAAUGGUGAAAAGGUGUACAACGAAGUCAAAAACGUUGACAUUGUAUUCAGAAAACAUCGUAAAAGUACAUCUACAAAAAAUGUUUGGAAGAAACGAUCAGUAUUUUUUAAUCUUCCUUAUUGGUCUAAACUUGAUGUUAGACAUUGUAUUGAUGUGAUGCACGUAGAAAAAAAUGUUUGUGACAAUGUCAUCGAACCUUUAUUAAACGUAAAAGGGAAGACCAAAGAUGGAAUAAAAGCAAGACAAGAUUUGACUGAAAUGGGAAUCCGAACAGAGUUACAUCUACAAACAAUAGGUAGACGCACCUAUUUGCCCCCAGCCUGUCAUACUUUUUCUAAAAUAGAAAAAUAAAGUUUUUGUAAGUCUUUAAGAAGUGUGAAGGUUCCACAAGGUUAUUCUUCUAAUAUUAGUAACCUUGUUUCUAUGCAAGAGCUAAAGUUAGUUGGUUUAAAGUCUCGUGAUUGUCAUAUAUUGAUGCAACAAUUGUUACCAGUUGUUAUUUGAGCCAUAUUACCUCCUUCUGUCAAGGGUAUUCUGACACGUCUGUGUUUGUUCUUUAAUGCCAUUUGCAUGAAAGUUGUUGACCCUCGAUGUUUAGAUCAAUUGGAAAAUGAAGGAAUAAGACUACUAUGUGAAUUAGAGAUGUAUUUUCCACCUUCAUUUUUUGAUAUCAUGGUUCAUUUAAUCGUUCAUCUAGUCCGAGAAAUUCAAAUAUGUGGGCCGGUUUACCUAAGGUGGAUGUAUCAUGUUGAAAGAUACAUGAAAAUCUUAAACGGAUAUGUCAAGAAUCAGUAUAGACCAGAAGCUUCAAUCAUAGAGCGAUACAUUGCAGAAGAAGCCAUUGAAUUUUGUUUAGCUUACAUGCCAAGUUGUGAACCAGUGGGGCUACCCAAGAGCAUACAUGAAGGAAAAUGUGAAGGUAAGGGUCGCGGUGUGAGGAUUCAAAGAGUGAGUAGAAAAGAAGUUAAUCAAGCUCAUUUGUACAUCUUAAACAACACUGAUGAUGUUAUUCCUUACAUUUCUGAACACGUUAAUAAAAUAAAGGCAUCACACCCAAGAAUGGGUGAAAAAUGACAUCUUAAUGAGCAUGUCAAAACCUUCUUACAAUGGUUUAAGAAAAAGAUUUAUGCAACUCCACAUGUUUCUAAAACUCUAUUAAGGUUAUCUCGGGGGCCGAACACAGAUGUCAUUACAUAUGGUGGGUACUAUAUUAACAAUAUCUCUUUUCAGACAAAGGAAGAAGAUGAUAAAAGUAGAGUUCAAAAUAAUGGGGUUACACUAAAAGCUGAUUCAGUGCACUUCUCUAGUUCUAAAGACAAAAAUUCAAUCACUGCAUCAAUUAGUUAUUUUGGAAUAAUACAAGAAAUAUGGGAGGUGGAUUAUGUGAGGUUUAGAGUCCCCGUUUUCAAGUGUAAAUAGGUUGAUAUAAAUUCUAGAAUUUUCACUGAUGGCUCUGGUUUCACAUUAGUAGAUCUUAAAAAGAUGAGUUUCACUGAUGAACCAUUUAUUAUGGCAAGUCAAGCAAGGCAAAUAUUCUAAGUCAGUGAUCCAACGAAUGAAAAAUGGUCAGUGGUUUUGGAAGGAAAAAACAUGCACGGGUUUGAUGAUGAAGAAUCUCUUGAUACACUUGAGACAACAUGUGGCACAUCAAGACCCAUUGAAGACUCAACUGAUGACGUUGCCGAUGACAUACAUGCAAUUCGUAGUGAUCACGAUGAAGGGAUAUGGGAGAAAACAAUAUCUUAAUAAGUAACGUCUUGUUUUUUGUAUAGACUUAAUAUGAAAUUUUAUUCAGAUGAAAAUUUCAAUUUCAAUUCAUACUAACCUUGUAUAUAUUUUUCAGGUAUGUCAACCUCAGACUUAGCAUCAGGACAGACCAGACGUACAUGAGGAGUGACACGUUUGCCAGUUGAUGAACCAUUUAUUAUGGCAAGUCAAGCGAGGCAAAUAUUCUACGUUAGUGAUCCAGCGAAUGAAAAAUGGUCAGUGGUUUUGGAAGGAAAAAACAUGCACGGGUUUGAUGAUGAAGAAUCACUUGAUAUACUUGAGACAACAUGUGGCACAUCAAGACCCAUUGAAGACUCAAUUGAUGACGUUGCCGAUGACAUACAUGCAAUUCGUAGUGAUCACGAUGAAGGGAUCUAGGAGAAAAUAAUAUAUUAGUAAGUAACGUCUUGUUUUUGUUUAUACUUUAUAUGAACUUUUAUUCAGAUGAAAAUAUCAAUUUCAAUUCAUACUAACCUUGUAUAUAUUUUUCAGGUAUGUCGACCUCAGACUCAGCAUCAGGACAGACCAGACGUACACGAGGAGUGACACGUUUGCCAGAAGCGACAUCCGGACAGGUUCCUGGGCAGAGGAGACAUCUUGAGAUUGACCCUAGAACCGGUGUGGCAUUAGGGCCAAAUGCUGAUAGAUUUAGUAGUUAUCUAGUUAAGAGUUGAGCGAAUGAGUUGGGGCUUGAGUCCCCGGACCUAGCACUUCCACCUACAAGGUACGAGAUGUGGAAGGCUGCUCUGACGAAAUCAGAUGGGAACAUGACAUCUGCCUCAGCCGUAUUGAUCUCACAGAGAAUUGUAAGUUGAAAUUGUAAACAUUGUUUGAUUGUGUUUUUAUCAUAUCUUGCAAUUUAAGUAACGUAACAAUUUUAAUGUGUAGGAUGAGUUGGUUGAGCAGCAGACACAGGGAACAUUUAUUCCCAAAGGUAGGGAGGACAUAUUAACAACGACCAUUGGAAAACUGGAGCACCUAGGACGUGUACGUGCAGUUCUUGGGUCGAUUGGUCUUCGUGACUACUUUGGCCCUGUACAACAAAAAAACUCAAUCAACGAAUCAGGAGACAUUGAGGCAGAUGAAUCUUCAGUGGGAACAAAGAUUUCAUCAAAUGGAGGAGCAAUUCAAUGAGCAGCUACAAGAACAAAAACAAAUACAAAGAAUGCUUGAAGAGAAGCUGCAAUCCAUGACACAGGGCACCCUGGGUGUGCCCACUAAAACUCCCACACCACCUCCUUCAACAACUAAAAAAUCAUGCUUGACUGUUGAACCUACUGACUACAUUGGUCAGUAUGAAUUGUUGGUUAAUGGGGAUCCCACAUGGAUUAUGGCUGUCGGACGAAUAGUUGAGGGAGGCCAGACUAUUCAUGGUGUUCCCAUAUCACCCCAGCACGUGCGCGUCAUGAUUGACGAGGUUCAGGAACCCCAGGCUCAGGUGCCUGUACCCACUCCAGAAGUUCAAUUUAUGGGGGAGGCCAUAGGAAGUUUUUUAGCUUGGCCUAGAGCAUUGGUUAUCACACACAUUGGUACACAAGAGGUAUAAUAUUUUUAUCAUUACUAAUUUUAUAUUAUCAUUUAAAAAUAUUUGUUCAUAAGUUUGAAAAUUUUAUCUUCAGUUCACACGUCCUCAAAAGAAGUUGAUGCAUGAGGCACCAAUACCUGAAUAUGAUGAUGGUGAUGACAUGGCUGAAGCGGAGGAUGAUCCCAUAGCAAAACUAUUGUCAAACAUUCCCAAGUUCAACAAAAGAUCAAUACAAAUAUACUGGGAUUUACGAGUAUUUGGUCUCCCCCCAUAUGCUAGUAUAUAUCACAUUCAAUGAUGUAUCGGAGAUCAUUGCGGGAGACAAGAUGUUGAAAUAUUUCCAUUAUUCAACUCUGGUGCAUGUAAGAUAGUUAAUUUUGUCUACCAUAAUAUUUUAAUUUAGAUGCCUACUUUGUAACAAGUUAAGUUUGUUGUUAUAGGUACAUGGACACAGUCAUUGUAGACUGUUAACUCCCUGGCAAGUGUACCAGAUCGUACCAAGUAGUAAUAAGACGGGUAAGUCCGAAUAUCAUUUCCCAAAGGAACUCUCAGGCCUUAACGUUCAUGUAGAUCAAUUGCACAAAACUUGAGAAGAAAAGAAUUUGUUGUGUUGGAUGCAAAUAAAAAAUAGAAACAUGCAAAUGCAAAUGAAUCAAUUGGCAAAAGAAGAAUAUAUGGAUGAAUGGAGUUGUUGGGGUUUACAAUUUCAUCUUAUCCACUCUCUUUUAUCUACUCUUCUUAUCUAAUUAUCUUAUUUAUCAUAUUGUUAUGCAAACUUUCUUAAUCUAUCCUAAACCCAAUCUCUUGGCGAAAAGAGCCGAUUACUAAUCACUGGCUUGCUAUCUCUAGCCUCCCCUAAUGAUUAAUAAUGCAUAAAGAUUGGAAGCAAAUGCAAUUGAAUGUCCUACCCCUAUUUCUAGGCGGUAUUUGCAAACAUGGAUGGAUGAGUCAAAGAGAGAUAUACCUUGUGCCAUACAUUGAUGGGUAUGUGUUGUUUUAUGUAAAAGGUAAUUAAAGUUUACUUAAUUAGUUUACUAACUAUUUAUGAUGUUCCAAACAGGGCUCACUGGAAGCUGGUGGUCCUCAUUCCCAAAAAAAAUACAGUUGUCUUCUUCUGUUCGUUGCAAAGGAAGAUGAAAAAUGACUUCGAAACCAUGCUUCAAGGGUAAGUGUUUCGCUAAAAAUGACUUUCAAAUUCAUGUCGGCCUUAAUUUUUUAUGAUUUCAUACUUAUAUUAAUAUUACUUUCUGUUUUAAUGUAAAUAGAGUAAUGGGUAAAUCUCGAGGUCAACUAAAUCAAGUCUUGUAUCCCAAGGUUUGGUGCAUUUAUAGUUUUAAAUCAUUUACUAUGUUAUUCAAUGAUCUUAAUUCUUGACUAUAGUUAGUUUGUCAUUUUAGUGUAACAGACAACUAGAUUCAUGGGAAUGUGGGUACUAUGUCAUGUCAUGGAUUAAGACCAUCAUUCGAGCUGGCAUUAAAGAUAACUAGAAUGAGGUAAUAAUCAGGCUUACUUUGAAAACAUCAAAAAUCAAUUAAUACUUUUGAACAUAUAUCAAACCAUAAUCAAUAUUUCUUAAUUGUGCAACGCUUCAACAAUUCAUCUCCUUUACCUGAAGGCACGAUAAAGCAGCUAAGGCAGGAGUGAACAACUUAUCUUCUGCAAAAGUGGAACUAGCAAGACUUAUUUUUGUUGUUUUAAAUUACUUAGGUUUAGUUUAAGUUUAUAAUUUCAUUUUUUUGAUCUUUGAUUGAAUUAUAUCUAUUUAUAGCUCAAACAAACAAUAUUUAUUAUAAACAAAUGUUCUGGGAAAAUUUUCUGAAUUUCAGGUGUGGUUUUAUUCGAAAAAUAAAAUAUUUAUUAAAAAAAAACUACCCAGUAGACAUCGGUUAAUGCAAAACCGACGUUUAUAGACGACGACUAAUGCUCAAAUAGAUGUCCAAUAAGUUACAAUGGACAAAACUUUCCAGAGCGUAUAGACGUCUCCUUUGUUGACCACUGACGUCAAAGUUAACGUCUGUUGUGGCUAUGCCUGACGUUUAUUGCCACGUCGUCUUUCCACACAGCCGACGUCAACAUAGACGUCUGCCAUAACCUGACUGAUGUAAAGUUAACGUCACUGGAAUAGACUUCGGUGCAAUAGGUGACGUCAAAAGCCCAAAAUAGCCGACGUUAAACAGUGUUUUUCCACUAGUGAAGCGUUUAGAAGAGAUAAAUCAAUAAGCACACAAUUGUUUUUAUAUUGGUUCACUCCACCAAGUUACGUCCAGUCUCUUCUAACACCUUAGAGGGUUCCACUAUAAUUUUUAACAAGAUUACAACUUAUUAUUCUCAACAUUCAUGGUAUCCUUAGUCACUCCAAGUAACCACCGUUACUUUGACUAGUUGAGUUUCACCCACUCCUAGUUGCACAGUAUUCUUCACCACUCCUGAUAUCCCUAGACAAUCUAGAUAUCUUCCCGAUAUGUUGUCUAGUUAAGUUCACCCACUCCUGGUUUCCACUAGGCACACCCUUCUAACUAACAUUUAACUCCACCUAAUUAAAUGUUAAAGUUUCACCCGCUCUUGGUUUUCACUAGACAAAUUGUUUAACUACCAUUUAACUCCUCAAAGAUAAACAUAAAGUACUUUAAUUUUCUUCAGAAUUUACAAUCAAAAGAUUGAUUACAAGUCCUUAGAUGAUAACUCUCGCAGAGAGGAUACAUGUUCUAUACAAUUCAAUCUAUAAAACUCAUUAAGUCUUUUCUCUCUUGUCUCUUCUUAUAGUUGUAAGCUUAUAUAUGAAUAAAGCUUGAGAGUGUUGUAAUCUUGAGCUUUUUCUCUUCUUAGAUAUUCUCUUUUGAGUUCAUGAGCUUUUUUGAGCUUUUCUCUCGAUGACGUUCACUUAUGUUUUUUUUUAUGUAUGUUAUUAUCUUGAUUCUUUCUUUAAAUCAUCUUCUAUUUAAAGGCUUCUAUAUAGACAUCUGUUAGACAAAGCUUUGGCCUGGAUUCUUGAGUCUUAUUAGUCUUGUUGUGUAAAGCAUCCGCUGGUUAAAUUCAUCUUUUCUGUAGGUUUUCUUUUUCAAUACUUUGACAAAAGUAGGUAGUAUUAUUUAUCUGGUACGACUUCUGAUGGAGAGAACAUUCUAUGAAUGUCUUCUUUGUUCCUAACGUCCCCUUAUGAUUUUUAUAAGAUGAAGCAGGUGGAUACGUGUAAUAGGCAAUCUACACAAAGUAGAGUAGAUAUGCAUGCAACAUAUAUGUAUUUUGUCUUAUCACUUUUGUCGUUUUUAAACGUUGAGCAUUUAAUGACAUUCAUUAUCUGUUCAGAACAACAAAGUGCUCUUUGUGUUUUUUACCAUUCAGGUAGGAUUUUAUCAUUUAAGCUUCAUCCUAAGAUACCAAUUAUUUGAUUGAGGACUUCAUCGUUAGAUGAAGUGAAUCGUUUAACACAUGCUAUCGUGUAGCCUAUGUAAACGCUUUAGGAUUUUUCUCUACUCUAUUUAACACAUAUGCAUUUAGCAAGGUGUUUUCUAACAUAAGUUUUUGAAAUGUCAUUUGAGAAUUUUAGCAUGCUUUCCAAAAACAUUUUCUUGACACUUUUACCUACUUAACCAUAUUGAGAGUUUGACUAAUUACCGCCUGGUAUAAUAUAACAUUUGUGUAUAGCAAGACUCUCAUUGACGCUUUAACUUGGGAAUCCUUUAGUGGUGCAUCUAGUUUAUGGCUAGUUUUUUUUUUAAUAUGGAAGUUAUCCUUGGGAUAUCAAGAGUUGUUGGAGGUUGUGAAAGAUGGUGCACGAGAGAAGGACGAAGCCGCAAAUAAGAAGAAAGAUAUCAAGUCUCAUUGUCUUUUCCAUCAAUGUGUGGAUACAAUGAACUUUGAGAAAAUUUUCAAAGCAAGAACAACAAAUGAGGCAUGGGAUAUACUAUAGAAGGCGCAUAGAGGUGCGGAGAAAAGAAAGAAAGUGAUAUUGCAGUCUCUUAGAAGGCAGUAUGAGUUACUGUAUAUGUAUGAUUCUAAAACGAUUGCAAAAUAUCUCAAUCAAUUGCAGUUCCUGGUAAACUCAAUGAGAGUGUGUGAAGAGUUUGCAACUGAUCAGAACAUGGUUGAGAAAAUAUUGCCCAUGUUCUCUCCAAAGUUCAACUACAUCGUGGUGGCAAUAGAAAAGUCCAAAGAUAUAGAAAAUAUGAUUGUGGAAGAGUUGAAGGCUCUUUGGAGGCACGUGAGUUGAAACUAUUAUCGCAAAAUGCUGACAAGGUUGGGGAGGAACAAGCCUUGUAGGUGCAGGUAGCAAAGAAAUGGGGUCUUUUUUGAGGAAAAUGGAAAAAUAAUAAAGGUGGACGAUUCAAUAAAGAUCUGAAACAAGAACCCAAUAGUGCUUCUCCUAUCAUCAUCACCGCACCAAUUAGAAUCUGACCAGCCAACCAAUUCAUCUUGCAAAAUCCACAAAGUCUAACAGAGGGAGUUUUAGCAAAGGGAGAGGAGGAAAGAGGAAUCAAGACAAAAAGAAUAUACAGUGUUAUAAUUGUGAUAAGUGGGGACACUAUGCAAUUGAUUGUUGGCCUCUAUUCUAAUUAGAUGUAAAAUUUGCCUUUUUGAAUGGACCACUUGAAGAAGAGGUUUAUGUCACUCAACCUCCUGGGUUUGAGAUUAAAUGGUGUGAAAACAGUGGGUAUAAGUUAAGGAAGGAAUUAUAUGGUCUAGAGCUGGCACCAAGAGCUUGGAAUAUGGAUUUGUUCAUGUUAAAGCACAAGUUUCUGAAAUGUCUAGUGGAACAUGGUGUGAAUGUAAGGUUCCAAGAUGUUGCAAAUUUACUCCUAAUGUGCAUUUAUGUGGAUGACUAAUUGAUCAUAGGGAGGAAUAUCUCAGAAAUUGAGAAAUUUAAAGGAUUGUUGAUGGCUGAAUUUGAAAUAACUUAUUUGGGAAAGUUGAGGUGCUUUUUUGGGCUUGAGUUUGUUAAAUCCAGUAGUGGAAUUAUUUCCCACCAAAGGAAAUAUGCAAUAGAGAUCUUAAAGAAAUUCAACAUGGAAAUCUGUAAUGCAGCAACAACCCCCAGCAGAGGCAAAGAUUACUACCUGUGAUAAUGAUGAAGAAGAAGUUAACAACACCCUAUAUAAACAAAUGGUUGGUUCACUCAAGUACGUAUGUUACAACAAGCUUGAUAUUUGUUUUGGAGUUGGAGUUCUUAGUAGAUUCAUGCAUCAACCAAAGAAAAUGCACUUACUAGCUACAAAAAGGGUGCUAAGAUAUGUAAAGAGAACAUUAGAGUUUGGUGUAUUGUUUCCUAAAAACAGUAAGGUGCAAGAUGAAUUGUUUGGCUGAUCAGAUUCUAACUGUUGUGGGGAUGGCAGUGAUAGAAGAAACAAUAAUGGAUUAUUGUUCAAAUUUAUGCGUGAACCAAUCUCUUGGUGUAGCAAAAGGCAACAGGUUGUGACAUUGUCCACUCGUGUGGAAGAAUAUAUAGAUGGAUCUUCUACUGCAUGUCAAGCUACAUGACUUGAUUCUAUUUUAACAGCAAUGAAAGUAGAAAUUAAAAGACUCACCCAACUGUUUAUUGAUAAUAAAUCAACAAUUAAAUUUGGUUAAUAAUCUUGUGUUACAUGGAAAGAGCAAACACAGAAAAAUCAGAUUUAUUUUUUGAGAAAACAAGUCAACAAUGGAAGACUAAAACUAAUGUAGUACUCCACUCAUUUACAUCUAAUGUUUUUACUAAACCUUUAAAGGUCAGAUUUGAUAGUCUCAUAUAUGAGUUAGACUUAGUUAGUUUUAGUACUUGAAUUAAAAAAAAUUGUAUUAAUUCAAAUAUUGUUUUUCAUUUUCUAAUUUCUAUGUUUUGUUAUUGACUAUAAUAAAAAGUCAUUUAUUCUUUUUUUAAAUGUUAAUAGUAAAAUAUCAUUUACACAUAAGUCUUUUCUAUAUGUAUAUUCCCUCUUUCUCUUUUCUAUACGUAUAUGCUUUUGGGUAUGGCUUAAUGAUGGUAUUAAUUUUCUUUAGAUACAGUGGUACCACGCUAGAAAUUUUGAGUACUUCCUUUUGUUUGGUAAGUAAGGAUGCAUGUCAAAUGGUUUCAUUCUUUGGUUAGCGUGAAGGGAUGGUGACAUGUGGAUGACCAAUUAAUACAUAUAUAUCAGGGGUUCUUAUUUUCGGGUUUUUGUUCCAUAUUCGUCCUCGAUUUAUUUUUUUUGUCAAUUAAAUUUCUAAAAUUGAAAAAUUGAAAGAAAUUGAUCUCUGUCAUUAAAUUAAGUUAACAUGAUUAAUUUUUUCUUUAUGUGUGAAGGUGAGGUAGACAAAUAUGAUGACAUGACGUGCAUAAUGAGUUUUAUUAUGCACGUGAGAGUAACUUAAAAAUUUGGAGUUUUUUUUAAAGAUUUUAAAAUUAAGGUUUCUUUAAAAUAGAAUUAGGAUUAAAAUUCUACGAGAAAUCUGAAUCACAUUGUUUCACAAGCAGGUGAAUUUGGUAAAUCGAUAUCCCUUUAUCUCCUUCGAGCAUUUUCUACAAAGCUCUUCGGCAACGCGCCGGAACGAGGCACUGCAACCGCUGCCUCUCUAUUUUCGGACGACAACCCCUUUCGGAGAAAACCUGCUCCACUUUCCGAAACAAUGAACCAAGCUUACAUCCCUAACAACGGCAACGUCACCCAGAAUCGCGAUGCCGGUGACGAGAAGAAGCGCAAGAAGAACAAAGAGAAAAGCCCAGCCCUUGAUCCAGUUUCUGUAACCGAAGUUUUGGAGAAAUUGAAGAAGAAGAGGAAACGCGGUUCUGAUGAAGGAAGAGAAGGAGGCCUUGAUUUGGGUGCAGAAGCAGUUGGGAAAAGAAAGAGGAAAAGGGACGAAGUUGAAAGAGAGUGGGAGAAGAGAUAUGGGCUCAUGGAGAAAAAGGACCAAAAUGUUAGUAAUUUUUUUGUUGUAUCUGCUCUUGAAGCUGAACUAGAGCAGGCUCGUGCACAGAUUCAGGAGCUUGAGACUGAGCGCCACUCCUCCAAAAAGAAACUUGAACAUUUCUUGAAGAAAGUGGGUGAAAAGAGGGCCUCAUGGCGAAGCAAAGAGCAUGAGAAAAUUNGUGCUUAUGUUGAUGACAUUAAAUCAGAGUUGAGUCGAGAAAGGAAAAGCCGCCAGAGGAUUGAAAUUGUCAAUUCCAGGCUGGUUAAUGAGUUAGCUGAUACCAAGUUAUUAGCAAAACGCUACAUACAGGAUUAUGAGAAGGAAAGGAAAGCCAGAGAAUUAAUUGAGGAAAUCUGUGAUGAGCUUGCUAAGGAAAUUGGAGAAGAUAAGGCUGAAAUUGAAGCACUGAAGAGGGAAUCUAUGAAACUUAGGGAAGAAGUGGAAGAGGAGAGGAAGAUGUUGCAGAUGGCUGAAGUAUGGCGUGAAGAGCGUGUUCAUAUGAAAUUGAUUGAUGCCAAAGUUGCAUUUGAUGAAAAGUACUCACAGAUGAAUAAAUUGAUUGUUGAUUUGGAAACCUUUUUCAAAUCAAUGAAUGUGAACCCUAAUGCAAAGAAUAAAGCAUGUUAAAACUUGUAAACUUGUCAGCCCAAGGAUUAUUCAAACUAACCUGGUUCUUAUAGUAUGAUACAUCAGACCAACUAAUCGGUGGCAUGGUGUAAAGUAAUCCCUUCUCCACGUAUCAUCCACAGCUUCAUCCACAACUGAGAGAGA
rnacentral:lncRNA from 1 species